CUGAUCUCGGGUUGUCAUUGGUGUUCUAGCAUAUUUGAUUGUUGUAUUAUAACCUUGCCUACAGGUUAUUCCAAUACAGACAAGGUGUGGAACUAGGACUUGGGCUCGUUCCUGGGGAAAAAAAUUGUUCUUUUAUGAGACAAAGGGAACUAUCAAGAAUGAUCCCAUCGUUCUUAAAUAUAUCGGAACAAUUAGUAAAAAAACUGAACUGAACGGAACAAACUCCAAGGGGGAGGCGGGGCUGGAAAACACCCUGCUGGAACUAGAAAUUGACGAAUCAGUAACUAAAUCUGUGCACGAGGAUAUGGUUGCAGCCCUAGUGAAGGGACCUGCAAAGACAAGAACUGGAUCCUAGCUGAGGAAAAUUAUUUCAUUGCCAGCCUUCCUCGCCAGUGAAGAGACAUGUCCUGAUGCUUCUGUUUGACAAGGGGCAAACUGCAUAUCCACAGGUAAAAUAAUUAUCUUUCAGUUUUAGAUGGAUCUUGUCAAUCUUUUUUAGGACAACAACUAAAAGUGCUUGUGCCCUGUAAACAUAUUUCAAAUGGCUUUUAAUUCAUAGAGGUGUGAUUCCAAUUUACAACGGUACUCUCUAAAACUUUGUCUGAAAGAAGAAUUAUUGUGUUCCCCCUUUUUAUGUAAACUAUUUUUAAUUUUGUUCUCUAUGAAUGGGACAUGAUGAAAGGAAUUAAGGAGAAAAUGGAAAUUGUCAGAAUUUAACACAUAUUAAGCAAUAUCUUGCUCAUAGUUUUUCAGCUAAAGGUUUAAAAAGGGUUCAAUUGUGAAUCGUUCAUGCCACACUGUAAAUGAAGGGUGACUGGAAAUUAUGUCAGCAGUUCUAUGACUUUUCUAA